rnacentral:rRNA from 1 species
UACGUAGGGCGCAAGCGUUGUCCGGAAUUAUUGGGCGUAAAGAGCUCGUAGGCGGCUUGUCGCGUCGGAUGUGAAAGCCCGGGGCUUAACUCCGGGUCUGCAUUCGAUACGGGCAGGCUAGAGUUCGGUAGGGGAGAUCGGAAUUCCUGGUGUAGCGGUGAAAUGCGCAGAUAUCAGGAGGAACACCGGUGGCGAAGGCGACAUCCUGGACCGGUAUUGACGCUGAGGCGCGAAAGCGUGGGGAGCGAACAGG